CCUACGGGAGGCAGCAGUGGGGGAUAUUGCACAAUGGGGGGAACCCUGAUGCAGCGCCGCAGCGUGGGUGAAGGCGCGUUUCGGCGCGUAAAGCCCUAUCGGCAGGGAAGUAGAUGACGGUACCUGACCAAGAAGCCCCGGCUAACUACGUGCCAGCAGCCGCGGUACUACGUAGGGAGCAAGCGUUAUCCGGAUUUACUGGGUGUAAAGGGGGCGCAGUCGGCAAUGCAAGCCAGGAGUGAAAGCCCGGGGCCCAACCCUGGGACUGCACUUGAAACUGCAUGGCUGGAGUACAGUAGGGGCAGGCGGAAUUCGUAGUGUAGCGGUGAAAUGCGUAGAUAUCAGGAGGAACACCGAUGGCGAAGGCGGCCUGCUGGACUGUGACUGACGUUGAGGCCCGAAGGCGUGGGGAGCAAACAGGAUUAGAUACCCGAGUAGUC
rnacentral:rRNA from 1 species